GACGAGCGCUGGCGGCGUGCUUAACACAUGCAAGUCGAACGGAAAGGCCCUGCUUUUGUGGGGUGCUCGAGUGGCGAACGGGUGAGUAACACGUGAGUAACCUGCCCUUGACUUUGGGAUAACUUCGGGAAACUGGGGCUAAUACCGGAUAGGAGCUCCUGCUGCAUGGUGGGGGUUGGAAAGUUUCGGCGGUUGGGGAUGGACUCGCGGCUUAUCAGCUUGUUGGUGGGGUAGUGGCUUACCAAGGCUUUGACGGGUAGCCGGCCUGAGAGGGUGACCGGCCACAUUGGGACUGAGAUACGGCCCAGACUCCUACGGGAGGCAGCAGUGGGGAAUAUUGCACAAUGGGCGGAAGCCUGAUGCAGCAACGCCGCGUGCGGGAUGACGGCCUUCGGGUUGUAAACCGCUUUCGCCUGUGACGAAGCGUGAGUGACGGUAAUGGGUAAAGAAGCACCGGCUAACUACGUG
rnacentral:rRNA from 1 species